rnacentral:lncRNA from 1 species
GUGGGCUAUGGAAGGUAUCUGAAGAAUUAAUAGUGUGUUCUUAUGUGAAAAAUGCAUGAGGAUGGAAAAGAGGAAAAACUGCGGAAAUUAAUUUGACGUGACAGCUGACAAAGACAGGCCAAUGGCCUGAAAUUGUGACUGUAUUGAAAUGAAUCAAUAUUUACAAUGAAAUCCGUAAAAUAUUAGGUGAAUUCAAUUUAAAAAAUAGAUGUGAAAUAUGACAAUUUAUUU